rnacentral:misc_RNA from 1 species
CUACAUAAUGUUUCCAUAUAUUUAUUCAAACAACAUUGCCAUAAAAGUGCCACCAGUUUAACACUAAUAAAUAAAAUUUUCUAAAAAUUAAAACAUUUAAAAAAUUAUUUAUUUCAAUAUGUAAAUACGUACAAUUUUUACAAUAAACACAAACCAGAAUAUGCUAACUUAAAAUAUUUUCUCAUUGACCUCAGCUGGGAGAAUUGUGAAAUAUUCUCAGUCGGUCUACUAAUUAAAUCUAAACACUGAUGUGCAAAACUUUAAAACAGAUUUAGCGACAAUUUUGAAAUAAUAGAAUGAGCGUCAAUGUUUAGCUGGAGGCUUGUAGAUAGGUUUAUAAAACAAAACUUUCUAGCCGCUAAUAUCUGGUUUUACUACAGGAUAACGACGAGGAAUGGAGGAUUUUCAACUUAUCUGUGGAAAACGGCGAAGAAACUAAAUCGCUUGAUAACAAAAGCGCUGGAAAAGAAUCGAAGGAUUCAGCCUCCGAAUCAGCCUCCGAGCUGAAGAUGAGCCGCGGGGAAGCGGAAGCGAAAAGAGAAGAAACGUCCAAAAUGAAGAGUCUCCUGGAUUCCAACCACAUCCCUUCCCUUAUGUCGCUGAAGACGGAGCCGCCGGAAUACUAUACGAGCAGGAGGCAGGAGCGAAAGUAUUACGGGCACAAAUGGCGAAAUUCGCGUAGCCGAGAAUACGACCGAGGGAGUCCGUACAGAAAUAGAAAAGAGAGCUACGAGGGGAGGCAACAGUUUUACGACAGGAGGAACAAGCCAAGGAUUUCUGAUUCGCGAUUUAAAUAAAAUAAAAAAACGAAUACUGUAUAAAUGUAAACAGUACUUUAAGCAACACAUUGUUUCUUCAAAUGUUUCUGUAUUGAUUAAAUGCGCCUGUUAAUGGUUUUUCUCCAUGGA